UGGGACGCGCCCAACUUGGAAAGCGCCUCGCUCGCCCCAGCGCGCGCUACUUCCCGGGCGAGCACCCGGCGCCGGGGCACAUGCUGCCCCCGCCCCUGCGUUCCUGGGGCUCCGGCUCGCCCUCGCCUGAGCCGCGCUCUCGCCUCGCCUCGCCUUCCGCGGGAGCCUUCCGCGGUCCUCGGCCGGGGAGAAGGACCGGGAGCGGAGGGGAGAGGGCGGGUGCCGGGAGGGAAGUUAGGGCUUCCGCUUUGUCCCCCCACUCCAGCCGCGGCGUUUAGUCCUCCGGGUGGGAUGAGCUCGCAGCAGCAGUGACCGUGGCGGCAGCACGGAAGGCGCCCGAGCCAUACACCCUGCAGCCGGAGAGGAGAGGAUGGCCGAGGAGGGAAAAAGACCGGAGUGAACCAGCCGGAGGAAGUCCCAGGGCGGCGAAGCUACGACUGAGAUCUGGCCCGGAGAAGCCCUCUUCUCCAGCCUGGAUACUUUAAGCGGUGGUGGCGGCAAACGGCGUGAGGUUGCAGACCGGACAGCGAGCCUCUCUCUUUCCAGUGCUGCUCUGCCCUCCGGAGAUGGCAAGUGAUGAAGAAGUGUCCGGCCGGGCCAUCUCCUUCAGAUGGCGGUGCUGAAAUUCAAAACCAAGCAGUUACUUCAUCACCUGUACACUUAACCAUUAUGGCAUACUAUUCCCUGAAGGAGGACCUAGGAGCAACAAGAACUAAGUAGCAGUGAGCAGACUCAAUAUCCAAGACUUGGUUUGCAGAUACACCUUUCCGCUGAAAGAAACCAGAGCUCAUUGGCAAUUCUAAAGCUAGAGCAUGGAAAGACUAGCUGAGCUUUGAGCACGUUGGUGUGCCAGAAGGGAAGAAAGUUCUCAGAAGAAUGAUGGGAACAUGACCAAAGGACUCAGGAACUACCUUGAGGGAGCUUUCACUGACCAAAUCUAUAACAGCUUGAGCAUCAAAUCGUUCAUGGACAUUUGAGUCAUUUGUGGUUUGGGACUUUUACAAAUAAACCUGCUGUGAGUAUUCACA